UACGGGGGGGGGCAAGCGUUGUUCGGAAUUACUGGGCGUAAAGGGCUCGUAGGCGGCCUUCUAAGUCGAACGUGAAAUCCCCGGGCUCAACCCGGGAACUGCGUCCGAUACUGGAAGGCUUGAAUCCGGGAGAGGGAUGCGGAAUUCCAGGUGUAGCGGUGAAAUGCGUAGAUAUCUGGAGGAACACCGGUGGCGAAGGCGGCAUCCUGGACCGGCAUUGACGCUGAGGCGCGAAAGCCAGGGGAGCAAAGCGGG
rnacentral:rRNA from 1 species